rnacentral:rRNA from 1 species
AGAGGUUGAUUCUGGCUCAGGAUUAACGCUGGCGGCAUGCCUAAUACAUGCAAGUCGAACGGAAAAUAUAGAAGUGCUUGCACAUUUAUAUUUUUAGUGGCGAACGGGUGAGUAAUAUAUAGAUAACCUACCUUCCAGUUGGGGAUAACAGAGGGAAACUUCUGCUAAUACCGAAUAUGAUAAAGAAACACAAGUAAUUUUAUUGAAAGGGGCUCCAAAGCCUCGCUAGAAGAGGGGUCUAUAUCGCAUUAGCUAGUUGGUAAGAUAACAGCCUACCAAGGCGAUGAUGCGUAGCUGUACUGAGAGGUAGAACAGCCACAUUGGGACUGAGAUACGGCCCAAACUCCUACGGGAGGCAGCAGUAGGGAAUUUUCGGCAAUGGGGGGAACCCUGACCGAGCAAUGCCGCGUGAUUGAAGACGGUCUUCGGACUGUAAAGAUCUGUUAUUAGGGAAGAAUUUUUACUUUAGGAAAUGGAAGUAAAUUGACGGUGCCUAAUGAGGAAGCCCCGGCUAACUAUGUGCCAGCAGCCGCGGUAAUACAUAGGGGGCAAGCGUUAUCCGGAAUUAUUGGGCGUAAAGGGUACGUAGGCGGGCUUGCAAGUCUGAUUUGAAAGCACAUGGCUUAACCAUGUGAGGUAAUUAGAAACUACGAGUCUAGAGAGUGGUAGAGGUAAAUGGAAUUCCAAGUGGAGCGGUGAAAUGCGUAGAGAUUUGGAGGAACACCAGUGGCGAAGGCGGUUUACUGGGCCACAUCUGACGCUGAUGUACGAAAGCGUGGGGAGCAAACAGGAUUAGAUACCCUGGUAGUCCACGCCGU